GUGCCAGCCGCCGCGGUAAUACGUAGGGUGCGAGCGUUGUCCGGAAUUACUGGGCGUAAAGGGCUUGUAGGUGGUUUGUCGCGUUGUUCGUGAAAUGCCACAGCUUAACUGUGGGCGUGCGGGCGAUACGGGCAGACUGGAGUACUGCAGGGGAGACUGGAAUUCCUGGUGUAGCGGUGGAAUGCGCAGAUAUCAGGAGGAACACCGGUGGCGAAGGCGGGUCUCUGGGCAGUAACUGACGCUGAGGAGCGAAAGCGUGGGGAGCGAACAGGAUUAGAAACCCCUGUAGUCC
rnacentral:rRNA from 1 species